rnacentral:rRNA from 1 species
UACGGAGGGUGCAAGCGUUAUCCGGAUUUACUGGGUUUAAAGGGUGCGUAGGCGGUCAGGUAAGUCAGUGGUGAAAUCUCUGGGCUUAACCCAGAAACUGCCGUUGAUACUAUUUGUCUUGAAUAUCCUGGAGGUAGGCGGAAUAUGUCAUGUAGCGGUGAAAUGCUUAGAUAUGACAUAGAACACCGAUAGCGAAGGCAGCUUACUACAGGAUGAUUGACGCUGAGGCACGAAAGCGUGGGGAGCAAACAGG